UCUUUUCCUUAUAAUUCCAACUCUUUGUCUGUGUUCCAUUGUAUGAAAACUACUUUAGUUCUACUUUCUAGCUAAUUCAUCCAUCACAAAUAAGCUUAUCCAUCACAUCCAUCAUGCAUCACAAAUAUAGCUUAAAAGUUAUCACAGAUGUGAUAACAAGUGAAGGUGCAGAGAAAACACCUAAGGCCAGAAUUGAGCCUCAGGACACCCCAAUUCAGAAACUGAGCAGGGGAGAAGACAGCGGUGGUGACUAGGAAGGAAAAAAAUCCAGGAGAGACCCUGUCAUGAAAACCCAGGGAAGUUUCAGGAAGAAGGAAGUGAUUGACUGUACUGGAUGCUGCUGAGAAGCCGAGGAAGAUGAGGCAACAAGGUGGCCACUGGUAGCUUGGAUAAGUAGUGGGGUCAGAAACUUUAAUAGAAUGUGUUGAGGAGAGUGGGAAAUGAGGGAGUAGAGACAAUACCUAAAGCCAAGUUCAAAAUACCUUGUGUGGAAGGUAGCAGUAAAGUGGGGUGAAAGCUAGAGGAGGGGAUGGCAUAAGAAAGCUUAAUAUUUCAUUGGGAAAUAUUAAAGAUUUUAUAUACCAAUGGGAAAGAUUCAAUAAAAGGAAGAAACUGAUCAUGUAGGAGAAAAAGGGCAUAUUUUAAGGGGCAACAUUCUUGAAAAGGCCAAGCACCUGAAAGUUUUUAUGAUGUGACACGGAAUAUGUGUGGCAAGAGCCAUCCAUAUGAUCUAUAUAGGACAGACGGGCUAGAGGACAUUUAUAUUAUCAUAUAAGAACUUGGAGACUGCAUAAUCUUAAUUGGUCAAGUUCUCAUAAGGUCUACUGCAUCCUAGUUUAGAAUUUGUCCAUGUCAUAGCAGCCAGCAGUGAGAGGUAUAGAAUAUAGUUCCAAAAGUUAUGGAAGUAGGUGAUUGGUUAACUCAAGAUAGUACUGAAGGGUCCUUACAAGAAUUUUCUAGUUUGGGCUUCUAUCUAGUUUAGAAAAUUGAAUUGUAAAGGUUUUAGAAUGAACACCUCACUAUCCCACUUCUAGAACUCUGUCACCAUGUAAUGUGUCUAUCAAAAAUAGCAGCCAAUUUUCACUUGUUUUGGGCUUGGCAGUCAUAGGAAACAGCUGACCUGUUAUUUUCUUCACCUAAAGACCCUUAUGUAUUUGAAAUCAGAAAUUUGCUCUUUCUUCUCCAAGCUAAACAACCUCUUUCUCUUGAUUUUCCUUCAUAGAUCUUAUUUUGUAUCAUCUGGCUAGUCUUUCUGACUCUUUUCCCUCUCUCGUUUUUUUUUUUUUUUUAAAUAAAGCUCAGUGACCAGCAAUCGAUAAGCUACUUGAAUAAAGUCUGAGUAAUCCUGAGAACAGUGGGGGUAUUUCAACACGUCUCCCUUAGAUGAAAGGCUGAACUGACUCUGCCAAGGCUUGAACACAUUCCAGUUCCUGCUGAUCUGGGAAGAUUCCUUCACUUGUGUUUUUGUUCUUCUACUGAGCAAUUUGAAUAAAAUGAAAAUACAACCAGACAUAUAUGGGAAAGUGUUUUUAGUGUACCUGUUCUUAAAAAUCAGCUUGAUAUUUACAUAAGUUAAAUAAUGUGCACAUAUCAAUUCUGUACACAAUAUGACUAUCUAAUCUUAAUAAUAAAAAAAGCUUUAUCUUUUAACUGUAUAUUUCAGAGAGUGUUUCUUACAAUCUAAAGGCAAGCAUUCAGAUGAAGUAAUUAAUUAAGGGAAGUGUUGGGUUUGGAAAGCCUUCUACUAUUUUGAGGUUAAUGAUGGUUGAGAAACUCCUAUGGGUGUGUGUGAGAGAUUCCGUCUGCUAAUUACUACCCAAGAAAAAUCUAAGCAUCCAACAAUCAUUCUAAUUUUUCCGAAGCAGCAUGAAAUAUCACAUCACAUCGUAUUAUGUUAUGCCAAGUAACAGGAUGUUCUUGGGGGUAACAUGACAAAACAAUACUGCUGGGAAAAACAAACUGAAAAGCCAACUGAUGUGCAUAUAAUUUUGGGAAGGUAGCACUAUGAAAAGGAAAAAGGUAACAUUAAUAAGUAGACCUAGAGUCAACUUAAGGGUUUUGAUAUCCAGGUGAUUUUAGGAAGGUAGCUGCCUAACCCAUAGGAUUUGGGCAAUACGCUUUGGCUUUCUUAUUUAUAUCUGUUUCACUCUGAACAAGUAUCGCAGCCUUUUUGAACUUUAAUUAUUUCCUCUGUAAAAUGAAAAUAAUACUAUCCACCCUACCUCUCUUAUAUGGCUGUUGCGAAAUUCUAAUGCCUUGCAUAUUUUAGUGUUUUAUAAAUAUCUAAUGGGAUACUUACAUCUAUCUGAAUUAGAUUUAAUAUUCUAUAUUUCACUGAUUCUGGAAUAUACAUUUUUAUAACUCAUGAUAUUUCAGAAAUUAGGAUAUAUCUUAUAAUUGAUAGCUGAUAUUUUAAUUGAUAUUUUCUUUCUUAGUGAUGCAUAAAAUAAAUAUUUAAAUCAAAUGGUUUCUUAGAAGUAUGGCAAAUAAGAGUUUGGAAAUGUCAGUUCCUCAUUUAUUCAUGAGACAAGGUUUUACUAACAGGCUCCUUUGUGCAAGGUAUUCAGAAGGAAAUAAAAUGAAAUAAGAUCUGGUCCUUAAUCUCAAGCAGAGUGUCAUGCAUGCAGUGGAUGAGUCAGGAUAACACAAAUGCCAAACAGUAUGUGAUAUGCACCAUUUGAGUUGCAUUCCAAACUCGGCACCCUAUAAAUGCAGAUGAGGAAAUAACUUUGAGUGGGGGCAACCAGGGAAGCAGCAUGGAGGAGGUGGCACCCAGCCUGGCCUUGACAGAUGGGUAGUAUCUCAACAGGCACAUCUGGGAAAGCAAAACACUCUGCAGAGAGAGGACAAGUAAGGUACAAACAUAAGGAUGCACAGUGUAUAUUCAGAGAACGGAAUGCAGUCCAAGGGGGAGCUUCAGGACUGUGAAAGGGGGCUUGCUCUAGGAUGUUAAAGAGUCUGGCCUCGAUUUGGUGGAUGGGUAGGGCUUCUGAGCAGGCAGAGGCCUAAUGAAACUGGGGCAUCAAGAGCAUCGGCUGGUCGGCAAUGUGCAGGGCACUGGUGAGGAAGAGGCCGGAAACACAGGCCUGCUUUAGCAUGUCUGGCUUGGAAAGUCCAGAUAAUGGGUGGGUAGCAGGGGUAGAAAGGAAACGGCAAAUGAUGGAAGAGCCAGAGUUAAAUGCUGAAAGUCCUUAAUGGGAAUCCUAGAGAGAAAUCCCAUUUCUUAACUGGCCAGAGAGGACACAGAAUUGAUGUCUGGUUGCAUGCUCCUUGAGGACAGGAACUGCACGCUUUGUUCCUCACUGUAUCCCAGGGCCUGUGGCAGUACCUGGCACAUUGUAGUUAUGCAAUAACUGUUCGUUGUAUUUCCUUCCUCUCAAAAUCCAAUUCGUGUUUUUAAUUCAAUUCAACAAGCAUGUACUGAGUAUCCGCCAUGUGCUCGAUGCUGGGCGCUGGGGACGGAGGCGAGUGCAGCGGUGGUUGGAACAGACUGGUAUGGCAGACUGCUUGCCAAGUGGCUGUGCUAAUUCCCUCCUUUAAUACAGGGUCUUGGGCAGUCCCCCCAAUACCGGCUCUGGGCUCGGCCAUGAGACUUGCUUUUACCAACGGGAUAACAGAAAAUGCAUUACAAGCAGAAACUUGGAAAAAAAAUGCUUGCAUGUUGGAGCUUGCCCUCUCCCACUGCUUUCUGGAAUCCGGAGACCACCAUAUAAAGAAUUCCAGAUUGGUCUCCAGGAGGAUGGGGAGACCACAUAGAACAGCUACCCCUGGUGGGUGGGUUCCCCAGACAUGCCAUCCUAGAAUGGGGGAGGGAGGGUGGCAACCCUUUUCUUAAAGGACUAGACAGUAAAUAUUUUAGGCUUACGGGCCAUACAGUCAUCUCCAUUCCAACUAUUCAACUCUACUGCUGUAGUACGAGAGCAGCCACAGACCAUACGGAUGUGGCUGUGUUCCAAUUAAACCUUAUUUACAAAAUCAGGUGGCAGGUCUGUGAGUUACAGUUCACCUAUCUCUAUCCUAGAUCAUCCAGCCCCAAGUGAAACCAGUCCAAACAAGAACUGCCCAGCCAACUCUCAAGAAUUGUGAGAAAUAAUAAAUGUUUGUUGUUUUAACCUACUAAGUCUGGGGGUAUCAGUAAAUGCUAACUGAUAAGGCUAGCAUAAAACAUAGAAGGCAGAGACCUUGUUUCAAGGCACUUAAAAUCCACCAGUGGAAGCAGGACACAUGCAGGAAACAUUCAAACAACAUAGGCAGUAUGUACUUAAAUGUAAAAAAUGCAUGACGCAGGAUAACUGGAAUUAUAAGGAUUUAUAAAAGGCAGAAAUUAAUUUGGACACAAAAUAGACUUGGGCAGAACAUAAAGAAUAGGUAGAACGUGACAGUUCCCUGACAGAAUUCUGUUUUCCUUUCACUGUUUCUUUACACUGUCUGCUUUUGUGUCUACGUGCUCCAGCAGACUGGGAGCCCCCUGCGGGCAAAGUGUGUCUUAUUUUCUAUGCUCCCAGAGUCUAAUGUUCUGGGAACAGCCAGAUUCAAUGUGCUUACUGAAUAAACCAAUAAACACAGAGCUGGAGAGGAGAAAAGGCAUUUAUGUGAAAAAAAUAAACCUCACAACAAAAAGGCAUUGCAUAGGAAUUUAUGUGGUAUGUUCAAGAGAGGAGAUCAGAGGCUCAGAUAGAGGAAUCACACUGGGGCCAGUGGAAGAGAUAGCUCAACGUGUGAUCUUGGGCUGUGUAAAGGGUCAGGGUGAUGAGGCAAAGUGAAGGACCCUGAAAGUCAGGCAUGGGAGUUGAAACCAAAUGUUACUGGAACAAAGUGAUCAAGUUGGUAUUUGUGAAGACUGGUUUGGCAGCAAAGGGUAGGGUGGAUUCCCGGCCAGGACAAUAGUUAAGGCAAUUUAGUAAUCCAGGAGAGUGAGAGCAUAGACUAGUCCAGGAGAUAGUGGGAGUAACAAAGUGUCAUCCCCCUUGAAAACACCAAAUAGAGCACAUGCUUCAGCAUCAACAGUAGAAGAAAAAAGGGGACAUCUCAGCCAUUCUUUUAUGCCAUAUUUAUUGUGUAUGAGGCAUUAUUAGGUCAUGUAUUAUGAGCCGACGAGGAUACUCAAUAGAUCUCUGUUGCAUUUGGAGCCAAGAUACAUAAGGUCCGGGAUCCCUCUCUACUCAAAAGGAAGCACAAGACAACAAGGAACUCAUGGACUAUCUUGGAGUUUUUCAUGAGCCUCCAUCACCCAGGAAACCUGACAACCUAGGACAAAGAUCCCAUGAGGAUUCCUGGGACCACGUGGAUGAAUGAGCCACGGCUCCUGAUGCUCACGUCGCAGGCUAGGACGGGAGAAAGCCUGAAGGCAGGAUUCUGUCACUCACUUCAGUGUCUGCCCCACGACCCGACGCUGGGACUUCGACGAGGACCUAUUUCCUGAAAUGUUGACUGGAUGGAUGGAAGGAUGGGUGAGAUGUCUGUAACCGGAUGGCAGCCUUCCAAUUUCUGACUCAGUAAAAUGGUUGAAACUUCCCCUCUCCUGACUGUUGCUUUUUCUGUUUCAGCAACCCCCUUUUCAGUGGGAGAGGAUGUGAACAAGAGAAUCAAACUGGCAUUCUGAAUCUCUUUAUUUAAAGGCACGUAUUUAGCAAUUUGCUAUGUCUGAGUUAAUAUACGGGUUAAGUUCCCUGUGAAUGACACUCUCCUAACUUUAGCAACGUCAUAAAGACAAUCAGUUGCUGUGUGUCUGGCAAGUUAAUGACUACAAGCCCAAGGGAUGAGAGGAUGGGAAAAUGUUAAACACAGAAAAAAAGAACUUCAAGCAAUUUCAGAGGAAAAUGAAAAAGGACUCACCUCUCCUUUCCCCAAAAAGCUACACAAAACCUCUUGGUUUUGAACAAAAUACUUCUGAGAAUCUUAUUUUAAACUCUGUGCUCAUCAGAACGAUCCUAUACAGAAUGUAGAAAAGAAGGGUAGGGAAAUGAGCUGGAGAUAAAGAAGAAAAGAACAUUAGGAAGAGAGCGAAGUAGAGGAGGGAGGAAGGAAGAAGUAAAAAGAGAAAAAGUAUAGAAGGUGGUUCCAUGCUGAACGACAGGAGAACAGGAGAGGGGCAUGAGGGUGGGCCAGGUCUUGCGGCAGGUGAAAGAGAACAUUCCAAAGACUUUACCAGCGAGGCGGGUGAGCGGGGACACCCUUCUGCUGGCCUCCUCAGCUCCACAGGCUGAAACGAGGCUGGCGACCGUGAUAACCUGCUGUGCCGCAGGUACUGUGCCGGGAGCUCUUACAUGUGGCAUUUUGUUUAAUCAUCCAGCACACAGAAACCCUGCAAGGAAGGGAAUUAUGUCCACUGUACUGGUGACAAAACCGAGUUCAGAGGUCAUCAGCGGUGGAGCUGGGGGCUCCGGACAAGCACCCACCUAUGGGCAGCACACCGCCAUCCACAAAGGACUCCUUUAACUUCUUUAAACCUCACCGCA